rnacentral:rRNA from 1 species
CCCUUAGAUGUUCUGGGCCGCACGCGCGCUACACUGAUUCAUGCAACAAGUUUUGUCCUUGGCUGAUAGGCCUGGGUAAUCUUUGAACGUGAAUCGUGAUGGGGAUAGAUGAUUGCAAUUAUUCAUCUUCAACGAGGAAUUCCUAGUAAACGCAAGUCAUCAGCUUGCAUUGAUUACGUCCCUGCCCUUUGUACACACCGCCCGUCGCUACUACCGAUUGAAUGGUUUAGUGAGGCCUCGGGACUGGCGCGCUCGAGUAGCAAUACACCUGCGCGCCGGGAACUUGGUCAAACUUGAUCAUUUAGAGGAAGUAAAAGUCGUAACA